AGAAAUUAGUUAAUAUAUAAUAUUGGAUUGUCAAAUCAAAGUAAUUAAACCAAAUUAUUUCUUUA
rnacentral:tRNA from 1 species